GGGGGUCUGGUUUAGGGGUAUAACGUCUCAUUCGCAUCUUUGAUAGAUCGUGACUUGAGAAGGUCUUGGGUUCGAUUCCCAAGUCCUCCA